UACAGAGGGUGCAAGCGUUAAUCGGAAUUACUGGGCGUAAAGCGUGCGUAGACGGUUAUGUAAGUCAGGUGUGAAAGCCCCGGGCUCAACCUGGGAAUUGCAUUUGAGACUGCAUAGCUAGGGUGCGGAAGAGGGAAGCGGAAUUUCCGGUGUAGCGGUGAAAUGCGUAGAUAUCGGAAGGAACAUCAGUGGCGAAGGCAGCUCGCUGGGACGGUACUGACGCUGAGGCGCGAAAGCGUGGGGAGCAAACAGG
rnacentral:rRNA from 1 species